GUCCACCUUUUGCAACUUUGAGAAAAUCCAGAGACUCAUGACUGGUAGAACAAAGAACUGAGAGUGGACUGAGAAACCAAUGCAAGGGAAGAGGCAAUCUUUGGUGAGCCCACUCAGCCACCAAACAUUUAGGUUCUUGGCUGGCAGGGUUUGAUUCAGAAUUUUCCUCAGGAAUGGUGUCCAGUAAGACACUUCUUCUUUUAGAGUUCUUAUGGAAUGCUUGCUCAUUUCCAGCAGCAGAUUUACGCUUCUG
rnacentral:misc_RNA from 1 species